UGCUUGAAUAUCUUAUAUUUCGAAAAACAGUAUAAACUGUACGGUCUAAAUUUAGUUUGCACGGUCUAAAUUUAGUUUGUACGAAAGUUGUAAACAACACCAUAUAAGGAUAUACAUUCCAUAUUUGGAAAAACGAACGUUACGGGGCAGAUAUUCAAAUUCAUUAGUCAUCGAUGCAGGCUCUCAAUUCAGCUUGAGAGCCCGUUCGCAGGCUAC